rnacentral:rRNA from 1 species
GCAGCAGGCGCGCAAAUUACCCACUCCCAGCUCGGGGAGGUAGUGACGAAAAAUAACGAUACGGGACUCAUCCGAGGCCCCGUAAUCGGAAUGAGAACACUCUAAACCCUUUAACGAGGAUCCAUUGGAGGGCAAGUCUGGUGCCAGCAGCCGCGGUAAUUCCAGCUCCAAUAGCGUAUAUUAAAGUUGUUGCGGUUAAAAAGCUCGUAGUCGAAUUUGUGUCUCGCGCCGUCCGGUUCAUCGUUCGCGGUGUCAACUGGCGUGUCGCGAGACGUCCUGCCGGCGGGUAGUUCGCAAGAUCUACCCAACUGACCCUGCCGCGGUGCUCUUCAUUGAGUGUCGAGGUGGGCCGGCACGUUUACUUUGAACAAACUAAGGUGCUUAAAGCAGGCUGAAAUUUUGCCAGAAUAUUUUAUGCAUGGAAUAAUGAAACAGGACCUCGAUUCUAUUUUGUUGGUUUUCGGAACCUCGAGGUAAUGAUUAACAGGAACGGAUGGGGGCAUUCGUAUUGCGACGUUAGAGGUGAAAUUCUUGGAUCGUCGCAAGACGGACAGAAGCGAAAGCAUUUGCCAAAAACGUUUUCAUUGAUCAAGAACGAAAGUUAGAGGUUCGAAGGCGAUCAGAUACCGCCCUAGUUCUAACCAUAAACUAUGCCAGCUAGCGAUCCGCCGACGUUCCUCCGAUGACUCGGCGGGCAGCUUCCGGGAAACCAAAGCUUUUGGGUUCCGGGGGAAGUAUGGUUGCAAAGCUGAAACUUAAAGGAAUUGACGGAAGGGCACCACCAGGAGUGGAGCCUGCGGCUUAAUUUGACUCAACACGGGAAACCUCACCAGGCCCGGACACCGGAAGGAUUGACAGAUUGAGAGCUCUUUCUUGAUUCGGUGGGUGGUGGUGCAUGGCCGU